AAUAGCAUUUGGAAAAUUGGCAACAUGGCAACAUGCUUACUGCUUCGUUUACUUUCUGACGAGUGACUGCUAACUAAAAACAAAAAAAACCCAAAUACUUUUACGAGAUUUUAAGCAAUUUUCGUUUGUAUGUUCACAGUUACUGACACCGGAGUAAGGUCGUGAUAAUUCAGCCAUUUGUAUUUAAUCGAAUGUUAACGAAUUCGUCUAGCAAAUAAGUACAUUCAAAUAUUAAUGUAGGCAAAGAAAUGUCAUCUUAGAUAGCGAAAGUUUAACAAGCCGGGCAUCCUCCAUGGCCACCACCAUAUCCACCGCCGAAUCCGCCGUAGGAACCACCACCACCGACAGCUGUAGCUUGAGCGGCCUGGGCGGCGGAAUAGGCCUUGUUGGCCGCUUGCUGGGCAGCGGCAAGAUCAGCUAGUGAAGCCUGUUGCUUGUAAGCCAAAGCCUGGGCGUUCGCUUGGGCUUGGUAAGCCAUCUGAGAUUGGGUGAAAUAGUUAGUUAAUUUUAAGUUAAUUUUAUUUUGAAGUGCAUUAAUCUGUAAGUUUCAUUAAUAGAUUUUGUUGUCACCUGAGCUUGAGUGGCUUGCUGAGCUUGGGCUGCUUGAAGAGAAGCGACAGCCUGGGCAGCAUGUGACUGAGCGGCCUUGGCGGCAGCUGCCAAAGCUUGAGCCUGCUGCAAAGCCUGGACCUUGGUGGCUUCGGCAGCUUGAACGGCCUGUGCAGCUUGAGCAGCCUGGGCAGAUUCAGCGAAUGCGGCGGCUUGGGCAGCUUGGGCGGCCUGUGAAAUUUGAGCAGCCUGGGCUUGCUUG